rnacentral:rRNA from 1 species
GACGAACGCUGGCGGCGUGCCUAAUACAUGCAAGUCGAACGAACAGAUGGGAGCUUGCUCCCUGAUGUUAGUGGCGGACGGGUGAGUAACACGUGGGUAACCUGCCUGUAAGAUUGGGAUAACUUCGGUAAACCGAAGCUAAUACCGGAUAAUCUAUGAAAGUGCAUGGUUUCAUAUUGAAAGAUGGCUUUUGCUACAACUUACAGCUGCACCCGCGGCGCAUUAGCUAGUUGGUGAGGUAACGGCUCACCAAGGCGACGAUGCGUAGGCGACCUGAGAGGGUGAUCGGCCACACUGGGACUGAGACACGGCCCAGACUCCUACGGGAGGCAGCAGUAGGGAAUCUUCCGCAAUGGACGAAAGUCUGACGGAGCAACGCCGCGUGAGCGAAGAAGGCCUUCGGGUCGUAAAGCUCUGUUGUUAGGGAAGAACAAGUACCGGAGUAACUGUCGGUACCUUGACGGUACCUAACGAGAAAGCCACGGCUAACUACGUGCCAGCCGCCGCGGUAACAC